GCCGCGCCGCCGGCCGCCCGCGCUGCCUGGGCGCUGACCGGAGCGGGAGGGCGUGCGGGCCGCGGGGCCGGCGCUCGGUGGCCCCGGGCGCUCCCGGGUCGUGCCGCCUUCCGUCAGGACGCGGGCUUGGCGACCGGUUCGUGUAUGCAUUAACAGCCGUCGUUUAAUAUCAAGGAACUUGCUCCACUCUGUGAAGGACGCGGAGCGCCAGCUGGGGAGGUAACCACUCAAUACAGCUUUUAAUCAGCCUUCACGGUAUUGCCCUGGGCAUUAUUCACCAUAUGCCACUUAAACACCACAUAGAAUGGAGUUAUUAACUUCCAGGAUGCUAGAAAAUGGAGACGCAUGGACGGUGGGGAAGGAAGAAACUACUUGAAGGCUAACACAUUCAUGGUUGAGGCAGAUCUACCAAGGUAAUCAUUCAUCAGUUCCUUGGCUUCUCUUCCUGUGGACAGAACAUUUUUUGCUCUCUAACAGAACAUAGAAUUUUAUUUGAUUAUUUAAAUCUUUGAGGUAAUGUAUCUUUUCUGUUGUCAGGAGACUGCAAAGGACCUUUUUUGAGGCCCAAAAAAGUGAUGAGAUUGCUGGUAGUGUCUCGGUUAUGAUACGGGUAUUUAAGGUGGAAUUUAUCAGACUGAACGUUGGUGACUGCUACGUAGAUGUCAACAUCUGGGCAAGUCAUCCCAUACUAAUUGCAUAGUCUUUGGAGAGCUUGUCAAUAUGUCUGUGGAUGCAAUUUUCAGACCUUCAAGGCCGGAAAGAUGAACUGGCGGCUAAACCUCACUGGGUACAGAGGGAGCCAAACCAUCUAUCUUGGGUAUAGACACCUAAAUUUAGAUUGGAUAAAUAGCACUCCUAGUCUAAAGAAGAGAUUCAAAAGGAGUUGAACCAAACAUGACUGUAAGGAAAGCAAGACUUCAUGUGAGUUUGGGGCUUUUCCCUGUAUGAUAUUUAAGUAUAAAUUGUUGAAAUGCCCCAAAAAGUCAAAUCUAGACUGUUUCACAAAAUUUUCUACAGGGUUUCAGUGUGUGGCUUUACAAACCUUUUAUUCCAUAAAUAAUAAUGAUUUGUAAUACAGUCUUAAAUGCUCUGUAAAGGAACUUAAAAUCCCUGUAAAUGUUGGCUCCAGAUUCUAUUAGCAGGCAAGGUCCUAUUUGAAUUAUUCUUCUUGGGUAUUUGUUACUUGAGGAAAAUCCCAGUGUAAUGGGCUUCACAGAGUUUGUAGUCGAACUCCAUCGCUUCUCUGUCUCAGCCUUCUAUGUCAUACUAUACAUUGAAUUUAAUCUAGUUAAUUUUGCGUUGAGUCUGAUAACCUAUGUUUGACUAAAGUAUUUCUCAGUAAUGUAUCUAAAAUAAACACAUCACUUUUCAGUCUUCUCUUUCAUUUAUUAAAUAAAGUGAACAUCUUAAAAUGGCUUGUUUUCUGUUUCCCCCUACCCUUUAGACUGUAUUUGUGGACCUUUUUUGUUCCAGCUUUUCAAAACUAACUUAAAAAUCUGAUUAUCAAACUGAACACUUCGUUUUACUUUCAGGUUCACUAUCGCUGUACACACAAAUAUAUCACCAAAAUUAUAGUGCUAUUCCAAGGUCUAUAAACUUUAUCUGAGUAGGUUUGACACUUCCUGAGCCAGUUUCCGUGGCACUCGUGAGUGAAAAUUAUCUGGAAUGGCUGAUUGCAAGAAGGGCGUUCCUAA